GAAUCUGCUUAUGGACUCAUUUCUAAUUUGUGACUAGUUGAUCUUCUAGUCCUCUUCACCUUGCUCUCAUUACUUGAAACACAUACCUGAACAAAGAGUUUGAGUGAAAUGAAGAGACACAAAUGUAGCCAGUUUAGAGUGAAGAUAGCAGAAUGAAUCCUAGUACUGAAUGAAUCAUUACCACCAUUUAUAAUGCAGACUAUAGCAGGAAUUUGAUAAUAGAUAGGUACUUGGAAAUUUUCCUCAUGAUUAGAUGAAAAAAUUUGUCAGUAUGCGCAUUGGUAGUUAGUCUUUCAAAUAUAAUUUAAAUGAACAUUCUUUGUAGAAUUCUCAAGGUAGCAACAGAAAGUUUCAAACUCUGGGAAGAUUGAAGAAAAAAGAAAAGCCAGAAGAGAAAAGAAGAUCCAUCUGCCCAUAUCUGUUGCUCAAAAUCAACUGGGUAUUUCUUUGUGAAACAGGGCAUCUAAAUGUACCAGCAAGUUCUAUACCCAUCGUGUGGUUGGAAAUGGAAUUAAAGCUCAAUCUGGAAAUCCAGAAGUGAAAGUUAAAGGGACUGAUCCUAUCAUAAACCAAAUUAUUGAUAAACUGAAACAUGUUAUUCAGGUAAGUUGACUUUUCUUUUGGGGAUAACCUGAAGGUAUUGAUGCACUUACAGCAAAAUGUUCAAUAAAGAUAAUAGUGAAAGAGGCUUAAUUAAUGCU
rnacentral:lncRNA from 1 species